rnacentral:rRNA from 1 species
UCAGAUUGAACGCUGGCGGCAGGCCUAACACAUGCAAGUCGAGCGGCAGCGGAAAGUAGCUUGCUACUUUGCCGGCGAGCGGCGGACGGGUGAGUAAUGUCUGGGAAACUGCCCGAUGGAGGGGGAUAACUACUGGAAACGGUAGCUAAUACCGCAUAACGUCUUCGGACCAAAGUGGGGGACCUUCGGGCCUCACACCAUCGGAUGUGCCCAGAUGGGAUUAGCUAGUAGGUGAGGUAAUGGCUCACCUAGGCGACGAUCCCUAGCUGGUCUGAGAGGAUGACCAGCCACACUGGAACUGAGACACGGUCCAGACUCCUACGGGAGGCAGCAGUGGGGAAUAUUGCACAAUGGGCGCAAGCCUGAUGCAGCCAUGCCGCGUGUGUGAAGAAGGCCUUCGGGUUGUAAAGCACUUUCAGCGAGGAGGAAGGCAGUCGUGUUAAUAGCGCGAUUGAUUGACGUUACUCGCAGAAGAAGCACCGGCUAACUCCGUGCCAGCAGCCGCGGUAAUACGGAGGGUGCAAGCGUUAAUCGGAAUUACUGGGCGUAAAGCGCACGCAGGCGGUUUGUUAAGUCAGAUGUGAAAUCCCCGCGCUUAACGUGGGAACUGCAUUUGAAACUGGC